rnacentral:rRNA from 1 species
UACGAAGGGGGCUAGCGUUGUUCGGAUUUACUGGGCGUAAAGCGCACGUAGGCGGUUUGUUAAGUCAGGGGUGAAAUCCCGGAGCUCAACCCCGGAACUGCCUUUGAUACUGGGUUUCUUGAGUUCGGAAGAGGUAAGUGGAAUUGCGAGUGUAGAGGUGAAAUUCGUAGAUAUUCGCAGGAACACCAGUGGCGAAGGCGGCUUACUGGUCCGAUACUGACGCUGAGGUGCGAAAGCGUGGGGAGCAAACAGG